GCACUGCUGAUGAGUCCCAAACAGGACGAAACAGUUGCCCAGUGC
rnacentral:hammerhead_ribozyme from 1 species